AUCCAGCUGACGAGUACCAAAUAGGACGAAAUGCGCAUCCUAGAU
rnacentral:hammerhead_ribozyme from 1 species